rnacentral:rRNA from 1 species
CCUACGGGGGGCAGCAGUGGGGAAUAUUGGACAAUGGGCGAAAGCCUGAUCCAGCCAUGCCGCGUGUGUGAAGAAGGUCUUCGGAUUGUAAAGCACUUUAAGUUGGGAGGAAGGGCAGUAAGUUAAUACCUUGCUGUUUUGACGUUACCGACAGAAUAAGCACCGGCUAACUCUGUGCCAGCAGCCGCGGUAAUACAGAGGGUGCAAGCGUUAAUCGGAAUUACUGGGCGUAAAGCGCGCGUAGGUGGUUCGUUAAGUUGGAUGUGAAAGCCCCGGGCUCAACCUGGGAACUGCAUCCAAAACUGGCGAGCUAGAGUAUGGUAGAGGGUGGUGGAAUUUCCUGUGUAGCGGUGAAAUGCGUAGAUAUAGGAAGGAACACCAGUGGCGAAGGCGACCACCUGGACUGAUACUGACACUGAGGUGCGAAAGCGUGGGGAGCAAACAGGAUUAGAUACCCCAGUAGUC